rnacentral:rRNA from 1 species
CCUACGGGUGGCAGCAGUGAGGAAUAUUGGUCAAUGGCCGGAAGGCUGAACCAGCCAUGCCGCGUGAAGGUUAGUGCCCUAUGGGCGUUAAACUUCUUUUGUGCGGGAGCAAUAAUGGUCACGUGUGGCCAGACGAGAGUACCGUACGAAUAAGCCUCGGCUAACUCUGUGCCAGCAGCCGCGGUAAUACGGGGGAUGCAAGCGUUAUCCGGAUUUAUUGGGUUUAAAGGGUGCGUAGGCUGUGAGGUAAGUCAGCGGUGAAAUGCCCCCGCUCAACGGGGUGAAGUGCCAUUGAUACUGCCUGGCUGGAAUGCGGAUGCCGUGGGAGGAAUGUGUGGUGUAGCGGUGAAAUGCAUAGAUAUCACACAGAACACCGAUUGCGAAGGCAUCUCACGAAUCCGCGAUUGACGCUGAUGCACGAAAGCGUGGGUAUCAAACAGGAUUAGAUACCCCAGUAGUC